rnacentral:rRNA from 1 species
AUUGAACGCUGGCGGCAGGCCUAACACAUGCAAGUCGAGCGGAUGAGUGGAGCUUGCUCCAUGAUUCAGCGGCGGACGGGUGAGUAAUGCCUAGGAAUCUGCCUGGUAGUGGGGGACAACGUUUCGAAAGGAACGCUAAUACCGCAUACGUCCUACGGGAGAAAGCAGGGGACCUUCGGGCCUUGCGCUAUCAGAUGAGCCUAGGUCGGAUUAGCUAGUAGGUGAGGUAAUGGCUCACCUAGGCGACGAUCCGUAACUGGUAUGAGAGGAUGAUCAGUCACACUGGAACUGAGACACGGUCCAGACGCCUACGGGAGGCAGCAGUGGGGAAUAUUGGACAAUGGGCGAAAGCCUGAUCCAGCCAUGCCGCGUGUGUGAAGAAGGUCUUCGGAUUGUAAAGCACUUUAAGUUGGGAGGAAGGGCAGUAAGUUAAUACCUUGCUGUUUUGACGUUACCAACAGAAUAAGCACCGGCUAACUUCGUGCCAGCCGCCGCGGUAAUAC